GCGUAAGGAUGUACGAUGAGACCACUCAGAGGAUUCACUGCUUUAUUUGUGGGGUUUUGUAAACAGAGGAUCUAAAUGGAGGAUCUCCGAAGGCAGAGCUGUCUCCAUGGAACAAACUCAUCAACAUGUACAAGCAGCGACGGAAGCUUCCUGUUCCUAAGGAAAACCCAGUGCAGCUGGAAAUGGAAGAGGGAUCCACUCUGAAUCUAACUGUUUAUGAAUUUGCAACACCUGAGCCUCAUCUCAUCUCUUCAAAAUCUUCCAGUACUGCCCUGAUCUAUAGGUUUCCUGAUGACGGAGCUGGGGAAGCUGUUGGCCACUUUGGGAGAGCCCACGUAGACCUGAGGACAAAUGGACUGGGAGCUCCUGAAGCAAACUGAGAGCCUGCUCCUAGAAGAGACGGGACAGUGGCCCCAAGACCAAGCUUAUGUUUUGAUCACGGUGAGUCUGCAAGUCCCCUUCAUCUAGCAGAUGAAGAUGAAGAAAGAAGAUUGAGACCUGUUCUUUGGUCCCCACCAGGCUGGUGUCUGGGACAAGGCCUGUUAGUUGCCAGCUUGUUCCCGUUUCCUCUUUCAGUGUCUAUGUCUUCCCCCCUUUGAAUGUUUAUCCCCUUGCUUUCUCCUCUCCCUGCCACCUGAGGGAUGACCCCAUCUGUACUAGGCUGGCAUCCACUGUAUUUUUAGAGUAAGUGUUUUACGUUGAUUGAUUGUUCUCAGUUCCCCCUAAACUCACAGACUCCUCCCCAC